GUUGUAGAGACGGAAACCAGCUGACAAGUAAACUGGAGUGACGAAACACCAGGCUUGACAAAAGCAACAACUACUUCUUGCGAUGGAAACUCGGCAUGAAAAAAAAAAGAGAGAAAAGUCUCCUUCCUGCUUUCUUUGAAAUCUGUAACUUCUCUCUAAUUGGGUUUUUUUAUUUAUUUAGCGCUGACAAAAGAGACUCUUACUUUACUAUUUCAGCAAAAGCAAGCGGUUUUAGGCUUGAACAAGGAGUGUUUAAUCCGGGUUCAAGUCUAUCCGUUUUGUAAUUUCCUACACUGAAUAAGAAAAGGUAAAGGUGCAGACAUAAAUCUUUCUCUGCAAUUUCUUUCACCCUCACUCCGGGAGAUCUGAUAUAAAACCCAUAUUAAAGAAAACAAUAAAGAGAAGUGAGGGAAAGUAAACUCUCAACAAUGAGCUGCGGCAUGCCUGAACUCUGACCUAUGAAGGACAUUUGUUUCCAGAGGUAGCACAUCCAGAUGUCUUUCUUCGUAGCUACUUCGCCACAUCGCUUUGCCUUG